rnacentral:rRNA from 1 species
UACGAAGGGGGCUAGCGUUGUUCGGAAUUACUGGGCGUAAAGGGCGCGCAGGCGGUCUUCCAAGUCAGAUGUGAAAGCCCCGGGCUCAACCUGGGAACUGCAUUUGAGACUGGAGGACUAGAGUUCGGGAGAGGAGAGCGGAAUUCCCCAGUGUAGAGGUGAAAUGCGCAGAUAUCGGGAAGAACACCCGUGGCGAAGGCGGCGUCUC